AGCCGGAAGUCCACUUGAAACCAUCUACGAGGAGAAGAGAAAAGAGAAAAAAAAGACAGGGGAAGGAAAAACAGAAGAGACGCUGGUGAUUCAAAAUGCCUUAAAUACAUGGGCAAGAAUGGUAAACUGGAAAGAAACACGGACACUGGAAUUCCUCGCUCUAUUGCGUCCUAGGGACUACUGAUUGCAAACAUGGUGUUACAAAAUAUAUUGACUGAAAAUUACAUCUUUAUCCCGGUACUUCUCCGGACUGCCUUGCCGAGCACGUUGUUGCAGUAUGUAGACCCCCGCCUUCUGAAUCGGUUACGUUACGACCCUCUAGUCCAUCCUAAUUCUGCUGCUGCCAGUCGAAUUGAAUGUCGAACUUUCAAAGGAAGUGGCCUACAACUCCAAUAAGAGCCCAGAAAAUAAAUUAUUUUCAUCCAAAUUUACUUUUUCUCAUGUUGCUUUGAGCAAUGCAGUUGUGUUUAUUUGAUUUGAAUAAACGCGUUUUAAGCAUUAGUAAUGAAAACGAAAUCACCAAGGGUCUGCCCACAAGUCCCAGUAAUCUUGUUGCCAACAUGCUGUCUUGUUUCUGUUUCUUAGAAGACACUUUCAGCAAGCUGCAUUAAAAACCCUGGGCAAAGUUUAAAUCCGUAUGGAAUUGUGAAUUCGACCCGGAAAAAGCAAACUAUACUUAACAGUAAAUACUCUCUGAAAUUACGGAAAUGGUUUGCACUGCUUUCUCACAAUUUACUCAAAGUGGAAAUAAUUUCAUAUUUUAAUUCUAAA